UUUCCUGUUGCCAUCACAUCAUGGUGGGCACUCUGGAGAGACUGCCGGUGACAAACCGGAGGAAGGUGGGGAUGACGUCAAGUCAGCAUGGCCUUUAUGUCCAGGGCUACACACGUGCUACAAUGGCCGGUACAAACCGUCGCGAUCCCGCGAGGGGGAGCUAAUCGGAGAAAGCCGGUCUCAGUUCGGAUUGCAUCCUCACGUGAUGAGAGUGCAUGAAGUUGGAAUCGCUAGUAAUCGCGGAUCAGCAUGCCGCGGUGA
rnacentral:rRNA from 1 species